CCUACGGGAGGCAGCAGUGGGGAAUAUUGCGCAAUGGGCGAAAGCCUGACGCAGCGACGCCGCGUGAGGGAUGAAGGUCUUCGGAUCGGAAACCUCUGUCUGCAGGGAAGAACGGUCACUGUGCUAAUCAGCAGUGAAUUGACGGUACCUGCAAAGGAAGCACCGGCUAACUCCGUGCCAGCAGCCGCGGUAAUACGGAGGGUGGGAGCGUUAAUCGGAAUUACUGGGCGUAAAGCGCUCGUAGGCGGUAUGUCAAGUCAAGGGUGAAAUUCCCGCGCUCAACCUGGGAACUGCCUUUGAAACUGGCAAACUGGAGUGUGUGAGAGGAUAGCGGAAUGCCAGGUGUAGGAGUGAAAUCCGUAGAUAUCUGGAGGAACAUCAGUGGCGAAGGCGACUAUCUGGCACAUAACUGACGCUGAGGAGCGAAAGCGUGGGUAGCAAACAGGAUUAGAUACCCUGGUAGUC
rnacentral:rRNA from 1 species